CAGUCGCCACGGGAAUACGAAGGGUGCAAGCGUUACUCGGAAUUACUGGGCGUAAAGCGUGCGUAGGUGGUGAGUUAAGUCUGCUGUGAAAUCCCCGGGCUCAACCUGGGAAUGGCAGUGGAUACUGGAUCACUAGAGUGUGGCAGAGGGGGGUGGAAUUCCGCGUGUAGCAGUGAAAUGCGUAGAUAUGCGGAGGAACACCGAUGGCGAAGGCAGCCCCCUGGGCCAACACUGACGCUCAUGCACGAAAGCGUGGGGAGCAAACAGGAUUAGAUACCCGAGUAGUCCCUGUCUCUUAUAC
rnacentral:rRNA from 1 species